AUAUCUUAAAACUUCCUUUUUGUAUUUGUGACUCCUUAAAGGUCAUACAAGGGAAUGUGGCCAAUUUCCCAGCAUGUGGAUGCAAGAGGCAAUGCGACUMCAGGUUGAUCAGAUCGAUAUUGAAAACGACAGAGGUUAAAGAUCCAGGAGGAUCCACGACUGGCAGAAAAACAAAAAAGGCUAAAAGGGAUGUUGACAAGAAUCAAAGUUUCUGUCACUGAUGAGACAAAACUGCAGCUUUUUGGCUUCAGUGACAUUAGUUGUGUUUUUCUUGUAACAAUGGAACAAUAUGUGCACACAGUUUGGACAUAAUGUACAGAGAUGCGUGAUGGUGGGGCUAAUUUGUCUCAAAGUGCUGCUGCCUGGCCAUGAACUAAACUUAAAUGAAGAGCCCAAAGCCGACUUUCAGUGCGCACACACACACACACACACACACACACACACACACACACACCAACCAAUGUUUACAUCAAAUGCUUCCAGGCAGAGUGGGCGUUAACCCAGAGAACUGAAACAUCUAGUUACGUGUUUGCAGCUCCUCUUUGCCUUUUCAAGGUUUUCACAGUAAUUAUGGAGGUUUCUUCAGCAGCUGCCCUAAAACUAUUUGUGUACACACACCGGAUGAGAGGCUGGAGCAAGAAGAUUGUAAUGUUUUGGUGUUUUGAAAAGUGCUCUCUGGAUUUAGUCAGUUCCACUUUGUUUUACUCGAUGCAUUUAUGUGCAUUCUUUUCUUUGAUAGUUUCUGUUACUGACUAUGUUUUGAGUCUUGGUGCACUGAAGUGGUAUUAUUCAGGGUCCAUACCCAUGAUCCCUGGGACCUGUGUUCUGGGGUUAUUACUGAAAGUCAUGUAAGACACGUGGCUCUUCCUUCAUAUGUCAUUUAAUAGAAAUGACAAUAAAAAUCUGAAUUACAGUGCAGGCAUUGUACUGAGGAACAUGUGGAUCCAGGGAACAUAGGGAUGAGUAUAUUAGAGGGAAGAUAGGUACAAGGGAACAUGGGGAUGGGUAAAUUAGAGGGAACAUAUGGUGGCUUGUGUUUCUUGUCACCAAAUAUUUUUUGGAUAAAACCAAUUUUGUUGUGAUUUGUUUCUGCUGUAUCAGAAGUUGAACAAUGCAGGCGUCUGAAAAA